CACUAGGUAAUCAAAUCAGGCUCCAUCUGUUCACGAGCAAGCGGAAGAGUAACGAGACAAAAGAUGUCAGCACUCCUGGUCGUAUGUAGGCGACGAGGGGCAUGGCAGCGGCGCGGUAGCGCCCUAGCAGGAGUACCAGCGAGAUGCAGAAGGGGAUGUAUCACGUACUAAUGAUCGAUCAUCUAACUUGCUCCGCCGCUUCACGCAGCACAUGUAUUAAGUGUGCCAAUGGAAGGGACAACGAUAUACAAGAUUUCGGAGUGGCGACAUUGACUCUGUUCCUGUCAUGCCUUACAAACCAGUUUCUUCAUCAUUCUCUGUAUCAUUUAUGUAUUCCUAAAUUUUGCACAUGAAUGUGCUGAGCCAGAAAAGGUGACAUGUGAGGCCACAGACUAAGCAACUUUGUGACCGUUCAAGUACGUGCCCGCUGAAGACCGUUGUGCUCAUACGCUUCGCCGCUUCCACACUAAGAGCAAGUCCAACAAGGGGACUAGCGUGUCAAGAAGGAACUUGUGCAGAGGAGCAACAAAAGCAUUGCACACGUGCUCCAACAUUGUUGCACGCCAUCAAUUGUAUGUGUGUAAACAAACCGGGAGCUAGGGGAAACAAAUCCGCAGGUGAGUUAAACUCUCUUGGUACCGUUACACUGCUGAUAAGAGGAGCAACACUCAUUGUAUAGUUGCUCAUUAAAAAACAAGCAUUUUGGUCGAUAAUUGUACACACUAGCAAGUGCAUGUAUCUUUUUCCUGCUGUUGUAGUGGGAUCAAGGCACAUACAAUUAUGGAGGAGAUGACAUGCCUCAAAGUAUGAGAGUUGAAGCAAUAAA